CGAUGGCAUCACACCCAGUGCUGGAGAUGUCAUCACGUGCUACCGCGUUCCAUGAUGUCAUCCUCCAGCACCACGCGUGUCCAUCG
rfam:Ornithorhynchus anatinus chromosome X1, whole genome shotgun sequence.